rnacentral:pre_miRNA from 1 species
UAUGGCACUGUAGAAUUCACUGUUCCUGAUCACAUUAAAUUGUCAGUGAGUUCUGUGAUGCCGUGCC